UCUGCAGUGAUGAGCCUCUAACAUGUAAGAAAAACCUUCUUUGGAGGAUUUUUUUCAGUGAAAUACACUUGUUACGCUUGGCUUCUGAGCAUU